UUGAUAACUAUUUACUUAAUUUUAGGAUAAUUGUUCCUCGACAGAUGGUGCCUACCUGUGGAGACCAAACACUGAACAAGAAGCCAAUGCUGUUCAAAAUGAAUUUAAUAUUCCCGAUGAUAAUUAUAUAUUGACUGGUGCAAAUAAUAUAAACAACAAUGGAACCUAUACAUUUGCAAUAGAAAAUGGUCCCUUUUCAUUUAAUGAUCUUCCAUUUGGAUCAGAACUUACAUUUGGUAAUGACGCUAAUGACGCGCACUUCUGUGUGUUUGUUGGGGCCACCAAACGUACAUGGACUUGGAUUAAAUUUGCCUGUACCGCUUCUGGUAGCUACAUAUGCGAGUACAAACUAAAAGUAUGUCCGUAGAGAGGAUUUAUACCAUUACAGUACUUGAUGUUAUUAAAAUUGUAAAAGA